CAUUCAGUUUUGGAAAAUGUAUGUCAUGAAUUGUAUUCUCCCCUAUCAUAUACAAUAUUUACAUUUUCUAAGCCACUAUCUAUAUUAUCAAUAAGCCCAAAAUUUCAAAAUGAUUUAUCGAGGCACUUGACUGCCUAGAAAUGCUUGAUUGAUAACAAUAUUCGGCUCAGUAUUCACAAGAAAUAUUCAUGCACUCCCAAACUUGCAAACAUUGUAUUAUAAUUUCGAUCGAAAAAAAUCCAAUAUAACACGCAAUAUACACUUUUCCUUGCAUUAUAAACAUUGUUUACUCACGUUACAGCCAUUAUUUAAAGGGACAGAUCUUCUUUCUUUCAUAAAAAUCGUUUCAAAAGGCAUAAUUCGUUCAAUAAUAUCUCAAAAUGGGCUAUUCCAUUUAAUAUCCGUACCCCCCCCCCCC